GUUUAUGAUGAAUAUCUACAAUUUUCACGACGGUCAACUGCGUUUUCCAAAUGUUUAUGGAAAAACUUUGAUGAUAAUCUGCCUGUGACAGGGCGCGAUACUGACA
rnacentral:snoRNA from 1 species